CUUGGGUCCUUUGCUGCAUUUAGUCCUCUGGAAGAAUCCGGCAACGCUUCACCAUUUGUCUCAUUGUCUGGUAACCCACGUCCCCCGCUGAAGAAAUAUGUAGUUUGCAGAUCAAAUGUUUGGAAUGUGGUUAUGAUGAAUUAGGACUAAUAUACGUGUGAACCUGUUGAUCUACAACUGGUCUUAUUCCAACAUUUUCAAAAAAGGGAACCGUCAUUGGAAACCUUAGCGGUACUACCAGGUUAGGUGAUAAAUGGAAAGAAAUUCCAUAAUAGCCACAUUCCCUUCGGGAACAGAAUAAACCACCAACGAAUAUUAAAUUUGGGCGAACUGCUUGUGUGGAAUUAUCUAUCCACAAUUUUGAUGUUGGCGCACAUCAAGAAGUCAUGUGAAGGAAACAUGUAUUCUGCGGACUAAAGUCUAGGAUAUCUGGCUUCAAGUACUACAGGAAGUUUAGUACACAGGAUUUUGAGUGCAGGGAUGGUCCUUAGUUUGAUAGUUUAUAGAAGUGUUCACGUUGAGGCUCAUAAUAUCUUGGUUGUUAAUUAUUCAAAAUUUUAUUUCAUAGUGGUAAUUCUCAAGUUGUAGAUAUAAAAUUUUAUACUUAAGUUCCAAGUAUUCUCAUUGCAUUGAUAAAAGCUUCUUGAUAUUGAACAGAAUUGUCAUUUACAUAAGCAAGUUGAUCCUUUUUCUAUUUGAGAAUUUUUCAAAAAAAAAAAAAAAAUCAAAUAUAAAAUUCACUUCUUGGAUAUUUUUCCAAUUUUAACUUCGUGCGUUUAUAUGUCAGUUUUGUAAAUGUUAGCAUUGUUAAACUUAUGAGCCUCGUCAUUAAACCCCAUUCUGAGCAGUGCACUUAUUUAUAACUGUAAACAUUUGUAUUCACGAAAAUGCUUAUCCAUGUGAGGUAUAUGAUUUUUGAUGUGUUAGUUAUAUUAAGCUUAUAUAAUUUUAUACCUUUGGGCCUGUUUUGGUCUUGGCACCACUUUUGCUUGCAAGUUUACUGAUUGUUAAACACUUAACAUAAUGACAUUUAGUUUAUUGAACUUUAUUUUUAUUCAACUUUUAAACCAUGCUAAAAUUCUAUAACAUGUGUUUUGAAUUCUGAUGAAAAGUUGCAAUUUUUGGUCAUCCCUUAGAAAGUGACCAGUGAAAAUCAAAUAAUCUUAAGAAGCAAGCAAAGUGAUAUCAUUCGGACAAAAUAGUCAAGAACUUACAUGUUAUAAUUAUAGGUAAAUUACAGAUAAAUGCAAUGAAAUUCAACCAUUUAAACAAUGGAUAAGUUUAACAGUAAAUUCAAUUUUAGUUGCUGAACUUCCUGAGUUUUCGUAUGAUAAAACUGGAUAAGUUUAGUUUGUGAUGGAAGGUCUUGAGUUGUGGUGUUGUUUUAGAUUUAGCAGGCCUUAUGCCAGCACGAGCUCUUGCUUAUAGAGCAGCCCGUAAUGAAACUAUUAUUGUACCUAUAGGCUAAGAUGCACUUAUGUUGUGUAUCUUGUCCGCGUCAGGCUCGUCAGACCAGCCAGGUACUGAGCCGUUCAAAGUCAUAUUCCGCACACUACUAUUACUACUACUACUACUGAUAUAGUACGUAUUUGUCGAUAGUGGUUCAAGUGUGGUAUAUUGGAGUAUUCCUCUGUGCUAAGCAUUUAGUCUAAGCUCAAUUUCCAGUCUGAUAAUUGCUUGAGCAUUUGGUGUAGAUUAAACUCCCCUUGAUGUCAGUAAUUCUUAAGUUAGUGCAGUGAAUCUUAUGAAUCUUAGGUCAGGAUUAUGUACUGAAGUUUUUAAAUCAUUGAAGAAGUACGCAUUGCUGAGUUUAUCUGAUUUCCAUUGUUAGAGCUAUACAACUGGCGAGAGUGGGGUUUACUUUUGUAUGUUAAUGUACCAUUAUUGCUCGUAAGUGUUUUUUGCAUCUGAAGAAAACUUCUGUAAUUUUAAGUUCAAGUCUCUCUCUCUCUCUCUCUCUCUCUCUCUCUCUCUCUCUCUCUCUCUCUC